AACGAACGCUGGCGGCAGGCCUAACACAUGCAAGUCGAGCGAGAUCUUCGGAUCUAGUGGCGGACGGGUGAGUAACGCGUGGGAACGUGCCCUUUGGUUCGGAAUAGCCUCGGGAAACUGGGAGUAAUACCGGAUACGCCCUUCGGGGGAAAGAUUUAUCGCCAAAGGAUCGGCCCGCGUUGGAUUAGGUAGUUGGUGGGGUAACGGCCUACCAAGCCGACGAUCCAUAGCUGGUUUGAGAGGAUGAUCAGCCACACUGGGACUGAGACACGGCCCAGACUCCUACGGGAGGCAGCAGUGGGGAAUCUUAGACAAUGGGGGCAACCCUGAUCUAGCCAUGCCGCGUGAUCGAUGAAGGCCUUAGGGUUGUAAAGAUCUUUCAGCUGGGAAGAUAAUGACUGUACCAGCAGAAGAAGCCCCGGCUAACUCCGUGCCAGCAGCCGCCGUAA
rnacentral:rRNA from 1 species